AAAUCCUCUGACUACUGAUCAGCCUCUGAACGAACUCUGGCAUGAUAGAUCUGACACUAUGGAGACCUGAAUGGCACAGAUUUAGCAGGGGAGGAAUGACAUGCAUGCUCUCUUCUCUGCUGAGAUUGAUCCAGCCCCAGCAGCGCAGCCCAGCACAAACAUUGGUCCUCCCUACAGGCUGUCCUGCCUCACUCCCUUUUGACACCAGCUCCUGCCACAACAAAAUAGGAUUGCUCUGAAGAAUACCUGCUGGAUACAGAUUGGCCAAGCACACCUCUGCCAGCCACACCACCUCUGCCCUUGACAGCUUCUCCAAUGGGCCCAACAAGAGAUGAGGUUGCCUCUUCAUCAUGGAUCAUGGCUGAUGGACAGAGCCCAUUAGAGCUGCCAGUGAUGUCCUACUGGCCAAGCACCACAGGGAGGAAGAGAUCCUGAAGUGGGUGGAUCUGCUUUGCUCUUAACACCAGCCCAGAGAAGCUCCUAGAGACACACAGCUGUGGCAUUAUGUUACUGCAGAGUGAAACGGUUAGUGUCACAGUCACGUCCCCUGCCACCUGCACUUACACAGCAGAAAGCCUCAUCAAUUCAAGGAUACCAUUUGAGGAUGUUGCUGCCGCUGGCUUCUUUCAAUGGGGGCUGGAGGCCUCGAAGCAGUGGUAGGCAGUGAGGAAGGAGCAAACUGAGGAAAGAAAAUCCUCCGAGCAGCAUCCCUCCGGCCAUCUAUACAGGUGCUGCCACCAGCAGCUGAAACAAGACCCCAACAGCCCUCACACACGCAUACCAGCUUUCCAUGAGUGGCAGGAAAAUAUCUAGUGUUCUCCCUGUACCUGGCACAGGGCAUUGACAGGAGCUCAAACAGUCUGCCUUUUAUGAGACUGAAAAGUAAAGCUGGAUGGUGGAGAAGGGGGAGUGAAUACAGACACACACAAAUAAAUAAAGAACUGAAAAUCUAUUUCCAUUGAUGGAAGUGGUUUGGACUUGUUUGAUUUGUGUUUAUUUCACAGGUACCAUCUUAGAAUAAGGCUGUAACCUAACAAAAUGUGUAAAAAGUCAAGGGGUCUGAAUACUUUCCGAAUGCACUGUAUUAUUUUUGAGGGCUACUUUGUGUAAAUGUUGCACAAAGACCAACAUUUUAUACUUAUCAUGGUGAAUAUGUCUUGUAUUAUGAACCAAUUUCUAUAGUUAUUGUGUGAAUAAGUUUGUUGUACAAAGGAUUGUGCUCCAACAUUAUCAUAACUAUGGCUUUGAUUUCAUUAAAGUCAACCUCAAAGUAAUCUUCUCUAUGAGUUGCUUUAAAGUUUUCUUUAUUAAUAACAUACAUCUAUUUGAAAUUGUGCUAUAACACUCAUAAAUAUGCCUGAUUUCAUUCAAUUAAACCACAACGUAAUCUUCAAUAGUUUUCUAUAUGGUCUUUUAUGCAUUAAAAUGGCAAAUGCAACAUCCUCCAAAUGCAAAACGUCCUCCAUUCCAGGUGACUACCUCAUGAAACUGGUUGAAAGACAAAGGGUGGCUACUUUGAAGAAUAUCAAAUAUAUUUUGAUUUGUUGAACACUUUUUUGGUUACUAGAUGAUUUCAUAUGUGUUAUUUCAUAGUUUUGAUGUCUUCACUAUUAUUCUACAAUGUAGAAAAUAGUGAAAAUAAAGACAAACCCUGGAAUGAGUGUGUGUGUCCAAACGUUUGACUAGUACUGUAUGUAUACUAGGGAUUCCUGUUAAAUGUAAAUUCGCCAUUGCAGUAGUAGAAUGGAGUGAUUUCAGUGCCAACGGAAAUUGUAUUGGAAUUCCAUAAUUUGUAUUCGUAUUAUAAGACAUUGAAUUUUAAUUCAAUAUUUUUGAAUUUGUAAUUGAAUCAUUGAAUGCAUAAAUGUAACUUUUAUAUCAUGAUUUGAAA